AUGUGCGGCACAUACACGGAGAUCGGAAUGAUACAGAGAAGAUGAGCAUGGUCCCUGAACCAGGACGACACAAAAAUUCAUAUAGUGAUCCUAUUUUUUU
rfam:Mustela putorius furo unplaced genomic scaffold scaffold00101, whole genome shotgun sequence.